CAUGCAUUUCUAAAGCUGGUAAAGCGUGGAUGUGAAGAUUAUUCUGAGAGCACUCAGACAUAAAACGUGACAGAAAACGCAGCAGAUAAGCACUAGAAACAUUAUUUACUAAGGUAAACUGCUUCACUUUAUUGGGGGGGGGAAAGAAGGAAAAACUUGUCUGUGUAUAUUGUUCCAGGCAUUUUCUCUGGAUCUAUUAACACCUCUUAUACCUUUCAGUGGGAGAGAGUAGGAAGUUUGUGUGAAAGGUGUGUCUGCACACAGGGAGCCUUUGUCCUGAGACAACUGAGGAAGCUCUCACCAAAAAGGAGGCUGGUCUGGACAGGUCUGAAACAUCUCUUGGCAUCAGCUCCUGUUUAUUGCAGUGGGAAGAGCAGUUACAGAUACUGGCAGCUUUAGUCAUAUGGAAGGUAUUUUAUUGACAGCUUUUGAGUCUAAAGUACUUGUUAGCACUGAACAGGUGUAGAGUGAUGUAGACUACUGGGCAAAUUCCCUUGUUCAGUGUUCCUUGAUAAAGAUUUCGUAGAACUGAAGAUUAACUGAGGUGGAAUAGGACAUCUGGAGCUCCCUUGUCUGACCUCCUGCUCCAGACAGGGCCAGGAUCAAAGGAUUCUCUCAGGUCUGCUUUCACAAAAAGCACAGCAGCUGCACACAGUGAGCACCCGAGGGCAGGACUUUUCAAGGCAUAGCUGAGUCUUUCUGUGGAUCAUACCCUGAGCUUUGCCUUUAUUCAGCUGUGGGACACUGUUGAACCUCCCAAUUUUACCUUGACCCUCUCAGAGUCUUUUCUGGAGUCUUGCUGAAUAGGAAGUUGCUCCCCAUUUUUGCAUUUGUACCUGUGACUUCUCUUGCUCAGGUAUUUCCUCUUGUCAUAACUAGACCAGCGCAUCGAGAUAAUUUAGAAGUUGAAAUCUGUGCACCACGGUGCUUGCAAACCCUCCCAGCUGAAUCAUCUGCUGGGUUUGUGGCCAUACAUUCCAGUCUGUCAUCCGGACUGGUAAUGAAAAUAUUGCACAGCCCUUGUGCCUGGCUGGACCCGCUUCCCAGUGCUCUCCCAGUUAGAUAACAAACCCUUGAUAAUUACGCUCCGAGAACGAUGUUGUCAUGCAGCCGUUUUAUGGUGAUUGCAUCCGAUUCACGUUUCCUUACGGGAAUAUCACGUGAAACGGCAUCAGAGCUAAUAAAGAAGCAUUUCUGAAUGUCCUUAUCACUUCUGGACGUUUUUCUUUGUUGCUCCAUAGAUUUCUGAAGCUGGAAGGGACCAUAAAGGUGAUGGGAUCUGCCCCUGUCCAUACUGGAAGUUUAGGUGAGCAAGUCACAGCAGAUUUAUCAGGAGUUUCGUAACAGGACGGUUGCGAUGUGACAGCUCCAGGAGAUCAAGAGGAAACAAACGUGAUGUGCUCAUGGGUCCCAAACAAAAUUAAACAAUUACCUGAAUCCAGUCUUCAGAGCAGCCUUUGAACCAAUCCCAACCCUUUUCUCUUUAAGGGCUGGAAAAAUAAGGAACGUGUCUAAUCCAUACCAGGUAUCAGCCGGCAGUUAUCGGUGCCUACGUGCUGCUACUCAGAUCUCGUUAGCUGUCUAAUUGGAUAAUAGGCAGUACACUUCACAACUACAUAAGUUUAUUAAGCUUAAUCUGCUUUGGAGCAGGGAGGGGAAGAUGUGCUCGGUGAC